UUUACCUCAGGAUAGCUGGAGCCCAUUACAAGUUCUAUCAAGUAAAGCCAAUGAUUAGAGGCAUCGAGGAUGCAACGUCCUCGACCUAUUCUCAAACUUUAAAUAGGUAGGAUGGUUUCAAACAGUGUACCCUUCCUACACAAACUGAAGGGCACGGUUCCU
rnacentral:rRNA from 1 species